AGGGGUAUAGCUCAGUGGUAAAGUACUUGCCUAGCAUGCAGGAAGCCCUGGGUUCUAUCCCUA
rnacentral:tRNA from 1 species